CUUGCAUAAAAUAUAUCUUUUAUAAUUAUACUAUUGUAAUAUGUAAAUUAUUACAAUAGUACUUUUGAAUAUUUUUUUAAGGUAAUAACUACGCACAAAAUGAUUAACAGAAUUAAAAGAAACAAAUGGGUUUAAAUUACGCGUAGGCAUUAUACUGUUAUAUACGCGGUGAUUAUUAUUAUUUAAAUUUGAAAUAUAAAUAUGACAGGUUUUUUAUUGUGUUUAAAACGCUUAUCUUAUCAUAUUUAUACAGAUAAUAUUAUUUAUAUAUCUUCAUUAUUAACAAAAUGAUUACAAUUGUAUGGCAACUGUACGAUGUCUACAAUGAAAAAUACUUCUCUUAUUCAAAUGUUAAUUUUACAUAACUUGUCAAUUAUUUACGACGAAGACUUUCUAUAAAUUUAAUGAAUGACGUUUAAUUUGAAAUUAAUUUUCAUUAUUUUAAUUGAAACAUUAAGGAGUAACGGCUGAGUGGGUAUCUCAAUGCCUCAUUGAAAAACUAAUUAACUAAGUAAUUGAAACAUACGUCAAUUGCUAAUAUAAUACCUUGAUGUCGUCUGUUAAAAAUUAUUAUAUUGUAAGGAUAAAUGAAUAUAGCUGAUUAAAUUUAUCUAUAUGUAUAUUUAUAUUUUCUUAUAACAGUGUAAUGAUAAAUAUAUCACGUGCUUCAAGAUUAAUUCACAUACAAGCUUGCUUGUUUAUUCAUAAAUUUUAGUACUUUCAUCAAGAAUUAAAUUAUUUGCUAUCGAUAUAUUAAUUGAAAAUUAUUAUUAUUAUUGAGAAACAUAUUUAUUUAAGUAUUAACUAAAAAAAAAUAUCAAUGUAAUUAUUUUUAUUUAAUUGAUUUCAUA